rnacentral:rRNA from 1 species
AUUGAACGCUGGCGGCAUGCCUUACACAUGCAAGUCGAACGGCAGCACGGGAGCAAUCCUGGUGGCGAGUGGCGAACGGGGGAGUAAUAUAUCGGAACGUGCCCAGUAGUGGGGGAUAGCCCGGCGAAAGCCGGAUUAAUACCGCAUACGACCUGAGGGUGAAAGCGGGGGAUCGCAAGACCUCGCGCAAUUGGAGCGGCCGAUAUCAGAUUAGCUAGUUGGUGGGGUAAAGGCCUACCAAGGCUACGAUCUGUAGUUGGUCUGAGAGGACGACCAGCCACACUGGGACUGAGACACGGCCCAGACUCCUACGGGAGGCAGCAGUGGGGAAUUUUGGACAAUGGGCGCAAGCCUGAUCCAGCAAUGCCGCGUGCAGGAAGAAGGCCUUCGGGUUGUAAACUGCUUUUGUACGGAACGAAACGGUCUGGGUUAAUACCCUGGGCUAAUGACGGUACCGUAAGAAUAAGCACCGGCUAACUACGUGCCAGCAGCCGCGGUAAUACGUAGGGUGCAAGCGUUAAUCGGAAUUACUGGGCGUAAAGCGUGCGCAGGCGGU